rnacentral:piRNA from 1 species
GCUGCGCCUCUAAUAGAACAGCUAAUCUAU